rnacentral:ncRNA from 19 species
GGUCAUGAGCGCCAGCGUCAAGCCCCGGCUUGCUGGCCGGCAACCCUCCAACCGCGGUGGGGUGCCCCGGGUGAUGACCAGGUUGAGUAGCCAUCGCCGGCUGCGCGGCAAGCGCGGGUC